rnacentral:rRNA from 1 species
UCGUAACUAGGUUUCCGUAGGUGAACCUGCGGAAGGAUCAUUAUAGUAUUCUAUUGCCAGCGCUUAAUUGCGCGGCGAUAAACCUUACACACAUUGUCUAGUUUUUUUGAACUUUGCUUUGGGUGCAUCAGCCUAGCUGCGUGCCCAAAGGUCUAAACACAUUUUUUUAAUGUUAAAACCUUUAACCAAUAGUCAUGAAAAUUUUUAACAAAAAUUAAAAUCUUCAAAACUUUCAACAACGGAUCUCUUGGUUCUCGCAACGAUGAAGAACGCAGCGAAAUGCGAUACGUAUUGUGAAUUGCAGAUUUUCGUGAAUCAUCGAAUCUUUGAACGCACAUUGCACCCUCUGGUAUUCCAGAGGGUAUGCCUGUUUGAGCGUCAUUUCUCUCUCAAACCUUCGGGUUUGGUAUUGAGUGAUACUCUGUCAAGGGUUAACUUGAAAUAUUGACUUAGCAAGAGUGUACUAAUAAGCAGUCUUUCUGAAAUAAUGUAUUAGGUUCUUCCAACUCGUUAUAUCAGCUAGGCAGGUUUAGAGGUAUUUUAGGCUCGGCUUAACAACAAUAAACUAAAAGUUUGACCUCAAAUCAGGUAGGACUACCCGCUGAACUUAAGCAUAUCAAUA